rnacentral:lncRNA from 1 species
CUAGGAGAACCGAAAGCAGUUCUAGACAGACCUGCGGUUUUUAUAGCAGUUUUGGCAGUCAACUUCAGCUUGUGCCUGAGCCGUGGGGCCCGAGGUGGCCCAGCCACGGGGGGAUGCAAGGCCGCCUCCCCUGGCUACAUGGCAGCUUCUCUCAUAAUUAGCUGGACUUCUCCGGAUGCCAGGGAGAAAGGGUACCUGCAAAAAGG